GUGCAUAACUUAAUUUUUCAUGCAUUACCCCAGUGUUUCAGAUUUCUGUAAACAGAGCCUAAAUCUAUGACCUAUUAACAAACUCUCACUUCUUGCCAUCCCUUUUUCUCUCUAGAACUUUUCACUAGUGGGGAGCAACAAAACAUAUUAGAACUAACAAACUUACAAUGGACAUUUAAUAGUGGUUUUCCUUUCUAUUCUAUUUUUUAAAAUGUAAAUGGAGUAAAUGAUAAAAUGUAGACUGAAUUUAUCAUAAAGACAUUUUCUUUUGGUAUACUGCAAGGAACUAUGAACUUUUAGUAACUACUAUAAGCAACUGACAGGAAAAAAUGGCAACAGAAGAAGGAAAGAGGAGAGAAUGGGGAGCAGACACUAAGGUGUAGUGAAAGGAGGAAAAUGAAGGCUAAGUCUAAUGAUGUGAAUCCUCUUUGCAAUUCCAUCAAAGGAGGGAUCUUCCUACUGACCAGAAGACCUGAACAGCCUGAGAAUGAUUCCUUUCAACUCCGAGAGAAGAAGCUGCAGAUGAAGAGCAAGUAGGAUGGUGAAGUGCUUAAUCAGUGGCCAGGCAAUCAAUAAACACAACAGAAGGAGCCUCUCCCCAUGGCCAUCACCACCCCAGGCCUGCAGCAAGUAUUGCCUGGCUACUGCCGAUGCUCACUCAAGGCCCAAGGGCUCUUCAGUCAGCUUGUGGUGAAUGCUGCCAGACCUGGGUCUUUCUGUUCAGGAUACUGUUUACUGAAAACCCACCAAUCUGAUCUUUUAUGAGAAGCUAGUCCCUGAAAAGGCCCUUGGAUCAAAGGUCAAAAACUUGAAGCACAGAGUGGGAUGUCAGAUGCCAAGAUUUAAAUCUAGUCAUUUGAUUCCAGAGCCCACAUUCUUAAAUAAUAUGCUACACUGACCUUUAUUGUCUUUAAACAUUAUCUUUAUUUAAUGUGUUUCAUAGAAAUUACUUCUCAGGUAUUCCUAAAUUUAUUUUUAAAAAUAAUGUCAUGCUAUCACUAUAAUAUAGUUUUUUAAAUUAACUUGAGAGGUAAUGUAGUAUGAUCAACUUCCUUAAUGGCCUUUUAAACUGGAAAUAACUAUUAAAUAUUUUAAUAUUAUAAAUUAACAGGCAAAAUGGUGAAAAAUCUAACAUCUGGUUCUUAAAAGUAAGUUGAAAUAUAAGAUCAGAUUUGAAUGCACAUGGAAAAAUAGAACUGGCAAAUAAUGCCAUAUUUGAAGAUCUUUUAGUAUUCUCUGGUAUUUUUCCUUUCAUUUCAAAAUUGUUAUAUUCUUUUUAAUGACUUCAAAUGAAUUAGGAAAUGUCAGGCUUCUAAAAAUCAAACAGAACGUCCAACCAGUAGAUUUCAUUCAGGGCAGUGGGAGCCUGUUCGGUUGUUUCCUCUUUCCCCCUCACUUUUAAAAAUCCUCAAUCACUGCCAUUUCUCUUCUCAGCUUUCACAACACUUUACAGGCAGCUGAAUGAAAGGGCAGAAGCUUCCUCUGAAACUCCUGUUAUUUCAGCUCUAAAAUCAGCUGAAAAGGAUGCCCUCCCCAGAGACAGAAAUGCAUUCCCUCCAUCAUGAACCUGCAAUGCCCUCAGGUUGUGGCAAGGGAGAAGUUUAGCACUUGAACCUAGAUAACGCUAUUUUUUUAAUCAAAGUGCACCAUUCUUGUUUCAUAUGGCCUGUGGCACAAUUUAUUUAAAACAAUAUGGUGCAUCAAAGAAGGUAAACAAUAAUAACAAUAAUAAUAAUAUAGGAAUAGCAAUGUGCACAUAAAUAAUAUAGGAAAACACAUGGCCUCAGUACCUUCAUGAAAUGGGACUUCAAUAUACAUAUUUCUUAUACAGCUUUAUGCAUGACUUCAUUGCACUUCACUGCUCUGUUGUGUCACUCUACCAAUAAACCUAUACAUCAUACUGAGUGAAGUAUGUUCACAGUCCCUUUACUUGACAAAAAAAAAAAAAAAAAAAAAAAAAAGGAGCAGUGUGGUUUAGGAGAAUGACCACUGAGCUAGAAGUAUGAAGACUAGAUAGAACUUGAGUCCCAUCCCCAGCACUUUCGGGCUCCCAGAUGUUGGGUGAGUUGUGCAUCCUCUUUAAAAAUCAGUUUGCAGACCAAUGGUACAUCUCUGUCCACCUGCUAGAGUUCUUGUGGUAACUAAAUAAGGUAAUGUAUAAGAAAGCAUUCUGAGAAAAUGCUACAUGUAAAAGGGGAUUUUUUUUUUCUCAUUGUGAUUUUUUUACUAUGUUUUUACUUUACAAAUUUACAAAUGUUUACUUUUCUUGAAUUUGCUUACCAGUAAAUUAGUUCACUGCUGGCACUUCUUUGUAGUCUAUUGCUAUGGGAAGUAAUAUGUUUAUCUGAAAAUUAUGAAGAUUCCUAGAGUUUCUUUACACUUGUUAUAUUUUAGGGGCAAUAAAAAAAGUAUAUGCUUAAACUUGAAUUAUGUCUUAUUUUUCUUUAGUGCAUUAUAAUUUCACAUCUAAAUACUGGUAUGUUUGUACCAAAUUAGCAAAGCAAAAAUGCAAAAUGUUAUUAAUUGACAUUGGUCGUUUUUUUAUUUAUACCACAUCCCCAUAUCCUAUUUAUUUGACUAUAGAUGUCCAUCUAAUUUAGAAAAUCAUUAUCUAACCUGUUUCAUUUUACCAAAUUGUCUUUUUUAAUAAUUUAGGUUUUGAGUAUUUUCUCCUAAGCUUUUGAAUCCAUGCUUACACAAUUGCAUUGAUAUUAUUUGAG
rnacentral:lncRNA from 1 species